AGAGUUUGAUCCUGGCUCAGAUUGAACGCUGGCGGCAGGCCUAACACAUGCAAGUCGAACGGUAACAUUUCUAGCUUGCUAGAAGAUGACGAGUGGCGGACGGGUGAGUAAUGCUUGGGAACUUGCCUUUGCGAGGGGGAUAACAGUUGGAAACGACUGCUAAUACCGCAUAAUGUCUUCGGACCAAACGGGGCUUAGGCUCCGGCGCAAAGAGAGGCCCAAGUGAGAUUAGCUAGUUGGUAAGGUAACGGCUUACCAAGGCGACGAUCUCUAGCUGUUCUGAGAGGAAGAUCAGCCACACUGGGACUGAGACACGGCCCAGACUCCUACGGGAGGCAGCAGUGGGGAAUAUUGCACAAUGGGGGAAACCCUGAUGCAGCCAUGCCGCGUGUGUGAAGAAGGCCUUCGGGUUGUAAAGCACUUUCAGUUGUGAGGAAAAGUUAGUAGUUAAUACCUGCUAGCCGUGACGUUAACAACAGAAGAAGCACCGGCUAACUCCGUGCCAGCAGCCGCGGUAAUACGGAGGGUGCGAGCGUUAAUCGGAAUUACUGGGCGUAAAGCGCACGCAGGCGGUUUGUUAAGCUAGAUGUGAAAGCCCCGGGCUCAACCUGGGAUGGUCAUUUAGAACUGGCAGACCAGAGUCUUGGAGAGGGGAGUGGAAUUCCAGGUGUAGCGGUGAAAUGCGUAGAUAUCUGGAGGAACAUCAGUGGCGAAGGCGACUCCCUGGCCAAAGACUGACGCUCAUGUGCGAAAGUGUGGGUAGCGAACAGGAUUAGAUACCCUGGUAGUCCACACCGUAAACGCUGUCUACUAGCUGUGUGUGCCUUUAAGGCGUGCGUAGCGAAGCUAACGCGAUAAGUAGACCGCCUGGGGAGUACGGCCGCAAGGUUAAAACUCAAAUGAAUUGACGG
rnacentral:rRNA from 1 species